rnacentral:snRNA from 1 species
GUGCUCACUUUGGCAGCACAUACACUAAACAAAACAGAAUGAUACAAAGAAAAUUCGCAUGGCCCCUGCACAAGCAUGACACACAAAUUUGAGAAAAGAAUUUGAAAGUG